UACGUAGGGCGCAAGCGUUGUCCGGAAUUAUUGGGCGUAAAGAGCUCGUAGGCGGCCUGUUGCGUCCGCUGUGAAAUCCCGGGGCUUAACCCCGGGCGUGCAGUGGAUACGGGCAGGCUGGAGGCAGGCAGGGGAGAACGGAAUUCCUGGUGUAGCGGUGAAAUGCGCAGAUAUCAGGAGGAACACCGGUGGCGAAGGCGGGUCUCUGGGCAGUAACUGACGCUGAGGAGCGAAAGCGUGGGGAGCGAACAGG
rnacentral:rRNA from 1 species